rnacentral:tRNA from 1 species
GAGGGUACAGCUCAAGUGGUAGAGCACAUGCUUAGCAUGCACAAGGUCCUGGGUUCAAUCCCCGUACCCCCU